CACUCACAGUCUUUCCUCACUGGAACGUAAGCUUCGUGAGAAAACGUCACGUGUCUACUUCGUUCGCCGCUGUGCUCCUCACACUGGCGCCUACAGCCUGUCUCAGUACGUACAGCCGUCCUCGGUAUCCACGUGGGACUGGUUCCAGGACACCUGGCACGGACACCAAAAUCCGAGGAUGCUCAAGUCCCUUAUAUAAAAUGCUGUAGUGUUUGCACCCACGGAUGUGGAACCUGUGGAUAUGGAGGGCUGACCGUACGUGCUGAAUGACUGCGUGAGCCCAAGGAAACGGCCAGGAGGCAGGCAGUGUCUGCAGGCAAAUCUCCAGGUCGUCAGGACCUGGGUCAAAAAGGAUCUUGCUGUGACUUAUGUCAUACAGUGUUCUGCCUAUGUUUUCCUCUAAGAGUUUGAUAGUGUCUGGCUGAACUGGGUUUUAAAUAGCUGAGAUACUUACUGUUCAAUAACAGACACUCAGAUACUUGUUGCCAUGUGGCGGAAGCUGGCAAACCAAACAGAAAAGUCUGAAGACACCGGAGAAGACUUUUCCAUUUUUCCUCAGAAAAAGAGCAGCAGCAGCAAGUCCCAGGUUUCCCUCUGAGUCAGGAUGAAACUAGCGGCUACAGACGAACGCUAGCGCGCCCUGUGUAAUGCGCUAUCGACACGUUACACAGAAAAUACUACUGCAAUAGGUAGGAUUCUGUAAAACAAGGAAGCGAAUAAACUAGGCACAGGAGAAAGAUGAAAAGAAAUUUAAGAAGAACCCUGAGGUUUCCUUAAGGUUG